GGGGUAGUGGCCUACCAAGGCGACGACGGGUAGCCGGCCUGAGAGGGUGAUCGGCCACAUUGGGACUGAGAUACGGCCCAGACUCCUACGGGAGGCAGCAGUGGGGAAUAUUGCACAAUGGGCGCAAGCCUGAUGCAGCGACGCCGCGUGAGGGAUGACGGCCUUCGGGUUGUAAACCUCUUUCAGCAGGGAAGAAGCGCAAGUGACGGUACCUGCAGAAGAAGCGCCGGCUAACUACGUGCCAGCAGCCGCGGUAAUACGUAGGGCGCGAGCGUUGUCCGGAAUUAUUGGGCGUAAAGAGCUCGUAGGCGGCUUGCCGCGUCGGUUGUGAAAGCCCGGGGCUUAACCCCGGGUCUGCAGUCGAUACGGGCAGGCUAGAGUUCGGUAGGGGAGAUCGGAAUUCCUGGUGUAGCGGUGAAAUGCGCAGAUAUCAGGAGGAACACCGGUGGCGAAGGCGGAUCUCUGGGCCGAUACUGACGCUGAGGAGCGAAAGCGUGGGGAGCGAACAGGAUUAGAUACCCUGGUAGUCCACGCCGUAAACGGUGGGCACUAG
rnacentral:rRNA from 1 species